rnacentral:ncRNA from 2 species
UCUGUUCACGGUGAUGGAUCCCGCCGGAACAGCCCGCACGCGCGUGGGCUUGUUCGAACCGCCUCCUGGCUAAUGGUUCCUACCUUUGC